AUGGCGCGGAAGAACAGAGGCAAGAAGACCAAAUCCAGAAAAACCCCACCUUUCUCCACCCCGUUUCCUCCCCCACCGCCGAUGGAGCCACAGGCCAAGGCGGCGAAGGCUUCGAUCGAUGUCCUCGCCGACUUCGACAUCUGCAGCAUUCUCCGCCGUCUCUCCCUCGCCGACCUCCUCCGUGCCGCCCUCGCCUGCCACCGCUGGCGCCGCCUGGCCGCCGGCUGCCUCCCUCGCGCCCCUCCUCUCCUCGGCUACUUCUUCCACCCAACCGAGACCCCUCCCCCGCCCCCCCUCCCGUAUACCAAGAACGUCGACACCCCCGCCGUGUUCGUUCCCCUCGACGCCUCCUCCCCUCGCCUCUCCCUCGAUUUCGCUCCGGACGCCUUCCGCUUCUUCCUCUUCGACUCGCAUCAAGGCCUCCUGCUUUUCGAGCCGGCCGACGAGUUUCCCAAGAAGAUGAUCCCCCGCUUCCUCGUCCUCGACCCGUCCACCAGCCGCCGCAUCCUCCUCCCGCCCCCGCCGCGCGACACGGUGCCCGAUGACCGCCGCUGGCGCAACUCAAGGUACUACGUCGGCUGCGCGCUGCUCUCCCGCGCUCGCCCGGGAAAGCUCUGCUUCGAGGUUGUCUGCUUCGCCAUCGACGGCGGCCACCCUCGCGCCUGGGUGGCGUCCGUCGACAACGGCGACUGCAGCUGGCGCGCGCUCCCGCGGGACGAGGAGGUCGUGGUCGAGUUCGAUCCCUAUUGGUUCGAGGGACGCUGCGUGCACGCCAGCGGCAAGAUCUACUGGCACAUCUGCAACUCUUGGCGCCUGCUCGUGCUGGACCCUGCCACACUCAAGUUCUCCUGCCUGCUGGUGCCGGACGCUAUGUCAUGCGGAUCCUGCAAGUACCGCAUCGGGGAGACGCCGGACGGGCGGCUUUGCUUGGUGACCGACGGCGAGAAACAGCUGCAGCUCUGGGUGCGCGGGGAGGGCAGGUCGAGUGACAACGGUUGGCUUCUGGAGAGGAGGAUCGUGGAUUUGAGCGUGGUGUGCGACAUGGUUCCUGGCCUGCACAGGGACACGAAGAUGAGGACCCUUAGGGUCUGGCCCAGCGACAUGGACGCCGGUCGCACAGGGAAGGUGUUCAUCAAGACCUGGGGAUACGGGUACUACUCGUUCGAUGUGGACACCGGCAAGAUGGAGAGCCUGUGGACGAAAGGUGGCAAGGAAUAUGGGCACCCCAUGUUCGCCUACUUCCUGGCAUGGCCGCCUGCGUUCCUCGCUCCAGAGAACUGA
rnacentral:rRNA from 1 species